rnacentral:rRNA from 1 species
CUAAUACCGGAUAAGAAAGCGGAUCGCAUGAUCAGCUUUUAAAAGGACGGCGUAAGCUGUCGCUAUGGGAUGGCCCGCGGUGCAUUAGCUAGUUGGUAAGGUAAAGGCUUACCAAGGCGAUGAUGCAUAGCCGAGUUGAGAGACUGAUCGGCCACAUUGGGACUGAGACACGGCCCAAACUCCUACGGGAGGCAGCAGUG